GGAUAAUCUGCCCUCAGGUGAGGAAUAAUCCCGGGAAACUGGGGCUAAUGCCUCAUAGGAGACGGGUGCUGGAAUGCUCUGUCUCCGAAAGGUCCGCCGCCUGAGGAUGAGUCUGCGUCCGAUUAGGUUGUUGUUGGGGUAACGGCCCAACAAGCCUUUGAUCGGUACGGGUUGUGGGAGCAAGAGCCCGGAGAUGGAUUCUGAGACAUGAAUCCAGGCCCUACGGGGCGCAGCAGGCGCGAAAACUUUACAAUGCGAGCAAUCGUGAUAAGGAAACCCUGAGUGCCUGUCAAUGCAGGCUGUUCUGGUGUCUAACACACACCAGGAGAAAGGGCGGGGCAAGACCGGUGCCAGCCGCCGCGGUAAUACCGGCUGCUCGAGUGAUAGCCACUUUUACUGGGCUUAAAGCGUUCGUAGCUUGGUCGUUAAGUCUCUGGGGAAAUCUUUUGGCUCAACCAAAAGGCGUUUCAGGGAAACUGACGAUCUUGGAACCGGGAGAGGUAAGACGUACUUCGGGGGUAGGAGUGAAAUCUCGUAAUCCCCGAGGGACGACCGAUGGCGAAGGCAUCUUACCAGAACGGCUUCGACAGUGAGGGACGAAAGCUGGGGGAGCAAACCGGAUUAGAUACCCGGGUAGUCCCAGCCGUAAACGAUGUGCGUUAGGUGUGUCAGUGACCACGAGUCGCUGAGGUGCCGAAAGGGAAACCGUGAAACGCACCGCCUGGGAAGUACGGUCGCAAGGCUGAAACU
rnacentral:rRNA from 1 species